rnacentral:rRNA from 1 species
AUUACUGGGCGUAAGCGCACGCAGGCGGUCUGUCAAGUCGGAUGUGAAAUCCCCGGGCUCAACCUGGGAACUGCAUUCGAAACUGGCAGGCUGGAGUCUUGUAGAGGGGGGUAGAAUUCCAGGUGUAGCGGUGAAAUGCGUAGAGAUCUGGAGGAAUACCGGUGGCGAAGGCGGCCCCCUGGACAAAGACUGACGCUCAGGUGCGAAAGCGUGGGGAGCAAACAGGAUUAGAUACCCUGGUAGUCCACGCUGUAAACGAUGUCGACUUGGAGGUUGUUCCCUUGAGGAGUGGCUUCCGGAGCUAACGCGUUAAGUCGACCGCCUGGGGAGUACGGCCGCAAGGUUAAAACGUCAAAGAAAUUGACGGA